GAUGAACGCUGGCGGCGUGCCUAAUACAUGCAAGUCGAGCGAACGGACGAGAAGCUUGCUUCUUUGAUGUUAGCGGAGGACGGGUGAGUAACACGUGGAUAACCUACCUAUAAGUCUGGGAAAACUUCGGGAAACCGGCGCUUACACCGGAUGAUAUUUUGAACCGUAUGGUUCAAAAGUGAAAGACGGUCUUGCUGUCUCUUAUAGAUGGAUCCGCGCUGCAUUAGCUAGUUGGUACGGUAACGGCUUACCAAGGCAACGAUGCGUAGCCGACUUGAGAGAGUGAUCGGCCACACUGGAGCGGAGACGCGGUCCAGACUCCUACGAGAGGCAGCAGUAUGGAAUCGGCCGCAGUGGGCGAGAGCCUGACGGAGCGGCGCGGCGUGAGAGAUGAAGGUCUUCGGUGCGGAAAACUCUGUUAUUAGGGAAGAACAGAUGUGUAAGGAGCUGUGCACAGCUUGACGGUAACUAAUCAGAAAGCCACGGCUAACUACGUG
rnacentral:rRNA from 1 species